rnacentral:rRNA from 1 species
GACGUAGGAGGCGAGCGUUGUCCGGAGUUACUGGGCGUAAAGGGUGCGCAGGCGGUUUGCCAGGUGUCUGGUGAAAGCGCCCGGCUCAACCGGGCGAGGUCCAGGCAAACGGGGAGACUGGAGGCUCGGAGAGGGACGCGGAAUUCCGGGUGGAGCGGUGAAAUGCGUAGAGAUCCGGAAGAACACCGACGGCGCAGGCAGCGUCCUGGCCGAGACCUGACGCUCAGGCACGAAAGCGCGGGGAG